GGUUGUGUGGCCUAAUGGAAAGGCAUCUGAGAGUGGAUCAGAAGAAUCUAGGUUCGACUCCCGGCACAGCCG
rfam:Fusarium graminearum chromosome 1, complete genome